ACACUUCCCUCGCAGGGAAGAUACCAUGAUCUCGAAGGUGGUGUUCCCAGGGCAAGGCUUAUUCAUUGCACUCCGGGUGUGAUGACUCCUACAAUUUCCCCAAAUGUGGGAAACUUAACUGCAUAGUUUGUGGUAGUGGGGGGCUGCGAUAGUGCUCCCCCCGA